UACGAAGGGGGUUAGCGUUGCUCGGAAUCACUGGGCGUAAAGCGCACGUAGGCGGCUUUUUAAGUCAGAGGUGAAAUCCUGGAGCUCAACUCCAGAACUGCCUUUGAUACUGAGAGGCUUGAGUCCGGGAGAGGUGAGUGGAACUGCGAGUGUAGAGGUGAAAUUCGUAGAUAUUCGCAAGAACACCAGUGGCGAAGGCGGCUCACUGGCCCGGUACUGACGCUGAGGUGCGAAAGCGUGGGGAGCAAACAGG
rnacentral:rRNA from 1 species